rnacentral:lncRNA from 1 species
CAAACUCAGCUGCUUUGUCAUUGUGGCUUUGGGAAUGUUUCUGCAAGCAAGAAACAUAUUGUUGGCUUGAAAUAUCUUUCAAAACACAAAUUGUUUUCUGUGUUCUCUGAAAAUAUAUUGGAUUCCCAGUUCUUUCAGAUCUUGUUUUAUGUAGCAGCAGAAGCAUUGAAAGGUGGAGGUUUGCAAAUUUGGUUUCCCCAUGAUGAAGCAGGCUUCUAUAAUUACAUGGAGCAGAGAAUGAGAAGGUGGAAAACCAAAUGAAAUCAGUUUUGCUUUUUGAGCUACAAGGUUUGUGUAGGUGUUUGGGGGAAGAAAGUGGAGCACACCAGCUCUUGAACAUGGAACAGCAACACUGUAACAGUAACUGAGGACUGGGAAGAAGGAAAAUACUUCAUUGCAAGUCUGAGUGAAAUUUAGGCGGCACUGGAAUUUGGUCCAGACAGGGCAACACUUCCACAUUUACAUUUUCACAUCUUGAGAGUGGCAGUCAUCGCAGAUGUUUCGUGACACCCAGUGUCUGCCUUGUAGUGUCCUGGUCCCACUUAACAACAACUAUUCAAGUUUUAAAUGAGUUAUAGCAAUGAUUGUGCUUUCAUAUGGAGGAGAAUAAACUUGAAAGAGAU